rnacentral:rRNA from 1 species
CCUACGGGAGGCAGCAGUCGAGAAUCAUUCACAAUGGGGGAAACCCUGAUGCAGCAACGCCGCGUGAAGGAAGACGGUUUUCGGAUUGUAAACUUCUGUUCUUAGUGAAGAAUAAUGACGGUAGCUAAGGAGCAAGCCACGGCUAACUACGUGCCAGCAGCCGCGGUAAUACGUAGGUGGCAAGCGUUGUCCGGAAUUACUGGGUGUAAAGGGAGCGCAGGCGGGAAGCCAAGUCAGCUGUGAAAACUACGGGCUUAACUUGUAGACUGCAGUUGAAACUGGUUUUCUUGAGUGAAGUAGAGGUUGGCGGAAUUCCGAGUGUAGCGGUGAAAUGCGUAGAUAUUCGGAGGAACACCGGUGGCGAAGGCGGCCAACUGGGCUUUAACUGACGCUGAGGCACGAAAGCCAGGGGAGCGAAAGGGAUUAGAUACCCGGGUAGUC